rnacentral:rRNA from 1 species
AACGCUAGCUACAGGCUUAACACAUGCAAGUCGAGGGGAAACGAUAUUGGAAGCUUGCCUCCGAUAGGCGUCGACCGGCGCACGGGUGAGUAACGCGUAUCCAACCUGCCCAUCACUUGGGAAUAACCUUGCGAAAGUAAGACUAAUGCCCAAUGAUAUCCCACGAAGGCAUCCGAAUGGGAUUAAAGAUUUAUCGGUGAUGGAUGGGGAUGCGUCUGAUUAGCUUGUUGGCGGGGUAACGGCCCACCAAGGCAACGAUCAGUAGGGGUUCUGAGAGGAAGGUCCCCCACAUUGGAACUGAGACACGGUCCAAACUCCUACGGGAGGUAGCAGUGAGGAAUAUUGGUCAAUGGGCGAGAGCCUGAACCAGCCAAGUAGCGUGCAGGAUGACGGCCCUAUGGGUUGUAAACUGCUUUUAUAAGGGAAUAAAGUGGGUCACGUGUGACUUUUUGCAUGUACCUUAUGAAUAAGGACCGGCUAAUUCCGUGCCAGCAGCCGCGGUAAUACGGAAGGUCCGGGCGUUAUCCGGAUUUAUUGGGUUUAAAGGGAGCGUAGGCCGGAGAUUAAGCGUGUUGUGAAAUGUAGAGGCUCAACCUCUGCACUGCAGCGCGAACUGGUCUUCUUGAGUACGCACAACGUGGGCGGAAUUCGUGGUGUAGCGGUGAAAUGCUUAGAUAUCACGAAGAACUCCGAUUG